UGUACAUACAAGUGGGCUUUUGAACAGGAUUGAAUUAGUUGUCACAUCUCCAUUGCUAAGGACUAUGCAAACUGUUGUUGGGGUAUUUGGUGGUGAUGGCAUACAGACAGGACGGAUAUCUUGCCACUCAUGUUGGCAAAUGCAGGAAAUAGUCGGCAUGCUGCAAUUUCAAGCCUUAAUUGUCCUCCUAUUGUUGCAUUAGAACUUUGUCAAGAGCAUUUGGUAGGUCCUUUGAAGGUUAUGUGUGCACUUUUGAUUUUAAACGUGAACAUUCUUGUGGCUGUGGAUAGCAUUCUGAUUUUCUUGGUUUCAAGUCGGGUAGAAAGGAACCUUUGAUUUAAUUACUAAGCUCAAAUGCUUUAUCCAGUUCAAGGGAAUUAUUUGGAACUCUUGAAUAUUUCUUUUAGAACUAAAAUAUUAUGACUACUUCCACUUAAAUCCA